AAGCUUGCUUCUUUGCUGACGAGUGGCGGACGGGUGAGUAAUGUCUGGGAAACUGCCUGAUGGAGGGGGAUAACUACUGGAAACGGUAGCUAAUACCGCAUAACGUCGCAAGACCAAAAAGGGGGACCUUCGGGCCUCUUGCCAUCGGAUGUGCCCAGAUGGGAUUAGCUAGUAGGUGGGGUAACGGCUCACCUAGGCGACGAUCCCUAGCUGGUCUGAGAGGAUGACCAGCCACACUGGAACUGAGACACGGUCCAGACUCCUACGAGAGGCAGCAGUGGGGAAUAUUGCACAAUGGGCGCAAGCCUGAUGCAGCCAUGCCGCGUGUAUGAAGAAGGCCUUCGGGUUGUAAAGUACUUUCAGCGGGGAGGAAGGGAGUAAAGUUAAUACCUUUGCUCAUUGACGUUACCCGCAGAAGAAGCACCGGCUAACUCCGUGCCAGCAGCCGCGGUAAUACGGAGGGUGCAAGCGUUAAUCGGAAUUACUGGGCGUAAAGCGCACGCAGGCGGUUUGUUAAGUCAGAUGUGAAAUCCCCGGGCUCAACCUGGGAACUGCAUCUGAUACCGGCAAGCUUGAGUCUCGUAGAGGGGGGUAGAA
rnacentral:rRNA from 1 species